rnacentral:rRNA from 1 species
CUCCAACGAGCGCAACCCUGAUCCAGCCAUGCCGCGUGUGUGAAGAAGGCCUUCGGGUUGUAAAGCACUUUAAGUGGGGAGGAAGGGGUCAACGCUAAUACCGUCGAUCAUUGACGCUACCCACAGAAUAAGCACCGGCUAACUCUGUGCCAGCAGCCGCGGUAAUACAGAGGGUGCAAGCGUUAAUCGGAAUUACUGGGCGUAAAGCGCGCGUAGGCGGCUAAUUAAGUCGGGUGUGAAAGCCCCGGGCUCAACCUGGGAAUUGCAUCCGAUACUGAUUGGCUAGAGUAUGAGAGAGGGAGGUAGAAUUCCACGUGUAGCGGUGAAAUGCGUAGAUAUGUGGAGGAAUACCGGUGGCGAAGGCGGCCUCCUGGCUUAAUACUGACGCUGAGGUGCGAAA